GUUGGAUCGUCUCUCGCCUCUGCUGUUUUGCUGAGUCGCCCUCUCUCUGCUUGGACUGGAUCGUCUGCUGUUCCUGUGGAUUCACAAGGUGAAAGGAGAGACGGAGACCAGAUGGACCAGAUGAAUUCCAAUCAAGUUCUGUUCAGUCCUUCAGUGUCCCUCACUCCUUCUCCACUAUCAAGACUCCCCCUUCCUGAGAAAAGGCUGUUUCUCCACCUGUGGACCAUAGACUUUUCCCUGAAACUCUACUCCAUCCUGAGCCUAAAUAAACUAUUCUGUUGAA